rnacentral:piRNA from 1 species
UACUGUUUUCUUAAGUCAAGCCUUAACUUU